AGAAUAUUAUUCACGGAUUCUUGACGGCAGGACGCACUCCUGUACCCAUACUCGCAGUAUUUUCAUAAAUAUUGGUAUACGUCUCUACCUUUUACCUCGACACGUAAUUGCCCUAUACACUUUGCCACGGCAUUUGUUUAACAUACAAACGCAAUAUAUCACAUUUCACUGCAUGUGUAGGGAUGAGUUUGCAAAAUUUGAAAUGAUUGCCUGGAGUAGCCUAAUAUACUGAGUUAACUUUCGCGAAACAUAAUUUUCAUGUUUGUCUUUUUUCCCCCAUAUCACGCAUUCGGUUAACCUUGUACUAUUUUCUAUGCGAUAGCAACUUGAUUCAAGCGCACAAGACCGUCUGUAUUCGAUUCAGUGGUGUCAUCAGAAUUUAGAUUGGAACAUUUGCUUAACCUCCAAUAAAAUAGGUACAAAGGAAAAAUGUGACAGUUAAAUAAACGUCUCCAGAAUGUUUCUAGCAAAUUUCAAGUCUGUAGUAUUAGACAUGCGUAGGCUUUAUUGGUCAUAUUUAUGCACUCAUUAGUGCUCAUAAAAGUUCAAACUGAAUACUUGUUGUCAAUUACUUGGUGUUUCGGAGAUAAUAUGUUAUACAAACACUGUUCAUUCAAAUUUUCUUUUAGUGGUGAAGGUGAAUACUGACAGUCAUAAAUUAAUUAUACGGGUGUUGGCUACACUGUUAAUGUUCUUCCUCCGCCAUUGCACGCGAUUACAAUUUGCGGAACAGGCUAGUGGAUCCUCCGAAGUGUUAACUCGAUUGGUUAAUAAUCCGUGAAGAAAG